UUUGAUGGCGACCGGCGCACGGGUGGAGUAACACGUAUCCAACCUGCCGAUGACUCGGGGAUAGCCUUUCGAAAGAAAGAUUAAUACCCGAUGGCNUAGUUCUUCCGCAUGGUAGAACUAUUAAAGAAUUUCGGUCAUCGAUGGGGAUGCGUUCCAUUAGGUUGUUGGGCGGGGGUAGCGGCCCCACCAAGCCUUCGAUGGAUAGGGGUUCUGAGAGGAAGGUCCCCCACAUUGGAACUGAGACACGGUCCAAACUCCUACGGGAGGCAGCAUG
rnacentral:rRNA from 1 species